rnacentral:rRNA from 1 species
UGGGUAACCUGCCUCAAAGAGGGGAAUAGCCUCCCGAAAGGGAGAUUAAUACCGCAUAAUAUGUUUAAGUCGCAUGACUUUAACAUCAAAGGAUUUUCUUUUAGAACUUCCACUUUGAGAUGGACCCGCGGCGCAUUGGCUAGUUGGUGAGGUAACGGCUCACCAAGGCAACGAUGCGUAGCCGACCUGAGAGGGUGAUCGGCCACAUUGGAACUGAGACACGGUCCAGACUCCUAGGGAGG